rnacentral:piRNA from 1 species
UAUUAAAUUGAGGAGGUGAUGGAGU